GAAGAGUUGGGUGGUGACACUCAGAAAAAUACCAACAAUACGUUGACAGAGAUAUGAUAGAGAGAAAGAGAGUUCGAAGAGGACUUACCUUACAACAGAGUGACGGAACGUAGAGUUGAGAGUUUCAGAGGAGCAGCGGCGCCGCUAAGUAAAAUAGCUGGCAGAGGACGAAAAAAGAUAGAUAAUCAAAUGUUGGCUUCGACGUAAAAGGGUUAGGGUUUUAAGGGGUGUUGAAAUCUACUACCCUAGUGUGCGUGGUGGAAUAGAAUAACAUAUGCCAAUAUGCAAUUGAAACAUAAUUAUUAUUAAUAAUAAAAAUUAAAAAUUAAAUAAUAAAAGGAAAUAGCUCUAAAUGCCAC
rnacentral:lncRNA from 1 species